rnacentral:lncRNA from 1 species
GACUACUUAAACAAACAAAACCAGAUCACUACCUGUAACAGCACCAAACAAACAAAACCAAGAACUAGGAAAAUGAAGAAAAAAUAUCUGACUGAGUGAAAAUUAUUACCUGAAGCAAUACAGAAGGAGUACUUAAUGUUCAAAUAAAGUCAUUGACCAAAGUAUGGGACAGAAUAUAUAAAUGCAUAUUUUUAAAGCAAAUAUUUCAUCUCCUAAAGACAGGAUAAGACAUGGAAUGAGAAGGAGAAAGAAAUUAAUCCCACCAUCCAACAGUGAAAGAAAAAACACAGAACAUGAGGAGGACCAGAAAGCAAUGUGAAAAAGAUUUGAAAGGAGUCACUGCUGAGCUAUUUUAGAUUCUACACCCUCUAUCCAGCCAUGAACCUAUCAGCGAUCAUACCUAACUAUUGCAUACCCCAUUAGAAAACCUAAUGUGAAUGUAGGAAGCCUAUUCAUCUAAAGGACAUGGAACCAAGUAGAUGUAACUGAUACUUCACUAUUGACCUAUAGCCUGUUAAGAUCUACCAUGAGUCAUAUACAUUUGACACUGUUGUUUUCAUUUCAUAAUACAUAUCUUCACUAAUUCUGUCUGUUUAUCACUUUGUCAAAGGGCUAAAACUAUAGUAAUGAGUACAUUCUUAAUGAGCUUUUCUUUAACUACCACAAUUUGUAUUUAAAUUUUGUCUCAUCUUAUGUUCUAAAAUUGUCACAGCAAAGUGAUCAAGGAAGCUAGAGAUUUUACUAUAUUUUCUUCUCAGUAAGAUUGCUGUAUCUCUUCUAUAUAAAGUAAAUAAAUCCUUGAUGCAAGAAUGAAGUAAUGGUUCAGUAAACAAAUUAAAUAUGAUACGACUUUA